rnacentral:sRNA from 1 species
GUAUACAAAUAAUUGGACCAACUUGGCAUAAAUUUGGCAAAACGCAUAUAUUUGUAAAAGUU